rnacentral:misc_RNA from 1 species
AACGCACCUUGCGCCCCUUGGUAUUCCGAGGGGCAUGCCUGUUUGAGUGUCAUGUUAAUCUCAAAUCACUUGUCUUUUGGGGCUUUGUGGUUUGGACUUGGAGGUUUCUGCUGGCCACCACGGUCGGCUCCUCUUAAAUGCAUUAGCUGGGCUUCGGCUCGCGUUUGUGGUGUAAUAGUUAAUUCUUUCGCCUGAGCGCUUGCCUGACGGGCCCGCUUCUAAUCGUCUGCUCGGUCGGACAAGGUCGUUUGGCCUUCUUGACUCCUUUGACCUCAAAUCAGGUAGGACUACCCGCUGAACUUAA